rnacentral:rRNA from 1 species
GAUGAACGCUAGCGACAGGCCUAACACAUGCAAGUCGAGGGGCAGCACAAGGUAGCAAUACUGAGGUGGCGACCGGCGCACGGGUGAGUAACGCGUAUGCAACCUGCCUGUAACAGGGGAAUAGCCUCUUGAAAGAGAGAUUAAUGCCGCAUAAUACGAUAUUCGGGCAUCCGGGUAUUUUUAAACAUUUAUGGGUUACAGAUGGGCAUGCGUUUCAUUAGGUAGUUGGUGAGGUAACGGCUCACCAAGCCGACGAUGAAUAGGGGUUCUGAGAGGAAGGUCCCCCACACUGGUACUGAGACACGGACCAGACUCCUACGGGAGGCAGCAGUGAGGAAUAUUGGUCAAUGGACGCAAGUCUGAACCAGCCAAGUCGCGUGAAGGAUGAAGGUAUUAUGUAUUGUAAACUUCUUUUGUCAGGGAAUAAUGGGUGUCACGUGUGACGCAGAGGAAUGUACCUGACGAAUAAGCAUCGGCUAACUCCGUGCCAGCAGCCGCGGUAAUACGGAGGAUGCGAGCGUUAUCCGGAUUUAUUGGGUUUAAAGGGUGCGUAGGCGGUUUGUUAAGUCAGUGGUGAAAGUUUGCGGCUCAACCGUAAAAUUGNCAUUGAAACUGGCGAACUUGA